GGACGGGCGCUUGAGGCACAGCCGCCGCCGCUUCGCCGCCGCCAUGAGCAGCAUCGUGGAGAAGUACAACUUUCCCUUUGAUGAAGAUAUGGUUGUAUCUAUCAGAUCUCUGACUUAUGAUACACCUGAUGGGCCAAAGGUUUGGGGAGAAGAGACAAGCACUGACAU